rnacentral:sRNA from 1 species
UGUGCUCGGUAGAGCAGCGUCGUGCUGCGAU